AGCCUGAUCCAGCCAUUCCGCGUGCAGGACGAAGGCCUUCGGGUUGUAAACUGCUUUUGUACGGAACGAAAGGGCUCUCUCUAAUACAGGGGGCAUAUGACGGUACCGUAAGAAUAAGCACCGGCUAACUACGUGCCAGCAGCCCGCGGUAAUACA
rnacentral:rRNA from 1 species